rnacentral:rRNA from 2 species
CGCGUGAACGAUGAAGGUCUUCGGAUCGUAAAGUUCUGUUGUUAGGGAAGAACAAGUACCGUGCGAAUAGAGCGGUACCUUGACGGUACCUAACGAGGAAGCCCCGGCUAACUACGUGCCAGCAGCCGCGGUAAUACGUAGGGGGCAAGCGUUGUCCGGAAUUAUUGGGCGUAAAGCGCGCGCAGGCGGUUCCUUAAGUCUGAUGUGAAAGCCCACGGCUCAACCGUGGAGGGUCAUUGGAAACUGGGGAACUUGAGGACAGAAGAGGAGAGUGGAAUUCCACGUGUAGCGGUGAAAUGCGUAGAUAUGUGGAGGAACACCAGUGGCGAAGGCGACUCUCUGGUCUGUUUCUGACGCUGAGGUGCGAAAGCGUGGGUAGCAAACAGGAUUAGAUACCCUGGUAGUCCACGCCGUAAACGAUGAGUGCUAGGUGUUAGGGGGCUUCCACCCCUUAGUGCUGAAGUUAACGCAUUAAGCACUCCGCCUGGGGAGUACGGCCGCAAGGCUGAAACUCAAAGGAAUUGACGGGGGCCCGCACAAGCGGUGGAGCAUGUGGUUUAAUUCGAAGCAACGCGAAGAACCUUACCAGGUCUUGACAUCCUUGGACAAUCCUAGAGAUAGGACUUUCCCUUCGGGGACCAAGUGACAGGUGGUGCAUGGUUGUCGUCAGCUCGUGUCGUGAGAUGUUGGGUUAAGUCCCGCAACGAGCGCAACCC